rnacentral:rRNA from 1 species
UACGGGGGGGGCAAGCGUUGUUCGGAAUUACUGGGCGUAAAGGGCGCGUAGGCGGCCUGCUAAGUCGGACGUGAAAUCCCUCGGCUCAACCGAGGAACUGCGUCCGAUACUGGUGGGCUUGAAUCCGGGAGAGGGAUGUGGAAUUCCAGGUGUAGCGGUGAAAUGCGUAGAUAUCUGGAGGAACACCGGUGGCGAAGGCGGCAUCCUGGACCGGUAUUGACGCUGAGGCGCGAAAGCGUGGGGAGCGAACAGG